UCUCUCAGACUCUUAUCUCUUUCUCUUCUUCUGGAAAAAUAAACCAUCUCUCUCUCUCUCUCUCGUCUUACUGCGUCUAUUUCCAUCGACCUUCCUCCGAUUCUUCAAUCACAAAUUCCCUUAUAAACCCAAAAAGCUCUCCCCAGAUCUUCACAAAAAUACUUGAUACAAUUUCAGAUCCCGAUCCACCGACAAUGUCAACCACCGUCCCACCCAUCCUCCCGAUCUCCACCACCUGUGUCGCCGCCGCCGGAUCCAUCGAGUCCCAGGCCUCCCAGCCUCGGAUCGCCACCCUGGCCUUCCGCGCCUUCAUCAACCACAUCACCGACACCGUCCGCAACGGCCUCUCCCAGCGCCGCCCCUGGGCCGAGCUUGCCAACCGCUCCGCCUUCGCCAAGCCCGAGUCCUUCUCCGACGCCACCCUCCGUGUCUGCAAGAACUACUCCUACUUCCGCGUCAACUACCUCGCCGUCGUCGCCCUCAUCGUCGCCAUCUCCCUCUUCACCCACCCCUUCUCCCUCGGCCUCUUCGCCGCCUGGUUCUUCCUCUACCUCUUCCGCCCCUCCGAUCAACCCCUCGUUAUCUUCGGCCGGACUUUCUCCGACACCCAAACCCUAAUGGGCCUCGUCGGCCUCAGCGUCUUCGUCGUCUUCCUCACCUCCGUCGGGGUGUGUUACAAGGGAUUGAAGAGAUUUCAUACUGUGUUUGUAGAGAGCGAGGUUGCGAAUCACCUCGGAUGAAAGAAGCCAUCGACCAUCAAAACUCGUUUCUCGUGCUUCAACCCGAGACCAUGGAGAAGCUCUAGCGACAACACAAUCAGCACUGAGUAGGAGGCUGAAACCAUGGCAGUGAUUGAACCUAAGAAGAUCAUCAUUGAGAUCCUGGUAUCGGUGAGUUCUGUUCCUUGUUUGUUUCUUCAACACUAACAUGGAUUGCCUUUGUUUUCAGAUUUCGGCCAAGUCAAUUGCAGAGUGAAGCUGCUUUAUUUGCUUCCCCAUGUACUCACCAACUUGAUUUCAGCAAUCGUUCCCCAGAAAGUUGAAAUAAAAUGAAUAAUAUCAAGAAUCUGAUCAAUUUCAAUUUCGGAACUGCAAAGAAGCAAUAGGACUCGAUACUGGACCAUGAAUAGAAGCAAUUGUUGACCGGAAAAAAAAAUUAAAAAAAAAGCAAUUGAAACUCUAAUUCCUACCCGUUGGUCCCACCAUGUCAGAAUUGCAGAGAAGCCAC